rnacentral:miRNA from 1 species
GGACAAGGGGGUUGGCGCG